UGAGGAACAUGACCUUCGGCGGGGGAUAGCCGGCCCAACGGCCGGGUAAUACCGCGUACGACCUUUUGGGGACAUCCCUGAAUGGUGAAAGCAGCAAUGCGCCGAUGGAGUGCCUCGCGGCCUAUCAGCUAGUUGGCGAGGUAACGGCUCACCAAGGCGACGACGGGUAGCUGGUCUGAGAGGAUGGCCAGCCACAUUGGGACUGAGACACGGCCCAGACUCCUACGGGAGCAG
rnacentral:rRNA from 1 species